GCCUAAGUGGCGCAGCUGGUAGCGCAACUGAUUCGUAAUCAGUAGGUCGUCGGUUCGAGUCCGAUCUUAGGCU
rnacentral:tRNA from 1 species